rnacentral:rRNA from 1 species
UACGUAGGGUGCAAGCGUUGUCCGGAAUUAUUGGGCGUAAAGAGCUCGUAGGCGGUCUGUCGCGUCGGAUGUGAAAAUCCAGGGCUUAACCCUGGGCCUGCAUUCGAUACGGGCAGACUAGAGUUCGGUAGGGGAGACUGGAAUUCCUGGUGUAGCGGUGAAAUGUGUAGAGAUCGGGAGGAACACCGGUGGCGAAGGCGGGUCUCUGGGCAUUUCCUGACGCUGAGGCGCGAAAGCGUGGGGAGCAAACAGG